UGGUGGAGUGAUUUGUCUGGUUAAUUCCGUUAACGAGCGAGAUCAACACCUUUAAAUAGUCACAUCAAAAGUCUAAUAUGCUGUGAAGUUCAUUGGGUCAAGCCUGGCGGCUAACGCUGCCCUUCUCUUUGGAUGGAUCAGUUGAUGUUUUGAUGGGUUUGACUUCUUAGAGGGACUAUCAGUGUUUAACUGAAGGAAGUUGUUGGCAAUAACA
rnacentral:rRNA from 1 species